AGCAAUAACAGGUCUGUGAUGCCCUUAGAUGUCCGGGGCUGCACGCGCGCUACACUGACUGGCUCAGCGUGUGCCUACCCUACGCCGGCAGGCGCGGGUAACCCGUUGAACCCCAUUCGUGAUGGGGAUCGGGGAUUGCAAUUAUUCCCCAUGAACGAGGAAUUCCCAGUAAGUGCGGGUCAUAAGCUUGCGUUGAUUAAGUCCCUGCCCUUUGUACACACCGCCCGUCGCUACUACCGA
rnacentral:rRNA from 1 species